ACGCCGUCAGUUCGGUUCGAUUUCGAUCCGGAGCGGGUUCUUGAACGGUCUCGGUCGUCGCGAGUGAGUUUCUUCGAAGUGUUUUCUAGUUGAAGUUAUCAAGUUAUCACAGGACUGCGAAAUAUUUGUCGGUUCUUUAGAUUCAGUCAGCAGUGGAUUCAGCAAAAAGGUCCCUCUCUCUCUCUCUUACACUUUCUUGGAGUGCUGGUGAAUCGCCGACUCAACGCGUAGCAGUGCAGAGCCAGCAGAGAGUGUUCGUCACAGCUAACUGAACCAAAGAGUGCGGCACGGUACUACAACUAAACAACACCGAGUCGGCAGUAGAUUAUAGUGCGGUCGCAGGUGGUUUUGAACGGACGUAAUUGCGAAUCGAUAUGAAAUCAGGAAGAGAGGAAAAUUAAGGGAUUUUUGGUGCAUUUUUUGAAGAAAGGUUGGGAAAGCUGAUUUGAGGAAGAUUUCAGUGCUAAAAAAUUCAAAGUGAGGCCGUUCUUUGUUCAAAACAAGGUGCACUUGGUGGAUAAGGCUCUCUUAUCAGUGGUUCACGUAUUUGUGUCAACCCCGAAAGGUGUGUAAAUACUAAAUUUACACCACACUUGGUGGUAGUCCGCUGUGUGUGUAUUAAGCUUCAUAUAGCUAAAGGUGAACUCGUCGUAGAGAGAGCACACUUGUUGAAAAUUGUUUGUGAUACAAAUCGCGAUAGAAGAUCGAAAACAAAAAGGCAAGUCUGCUUGAGAAUGGUGCUAAUUUAGAAAACAGCUCAGUUCUAGUGAAAACAACUCAACAUUAGCACACACGAAAGUAGUUAGGAGAAGACACAAGGUCGCGUGAAAAACCAUGUCAACAAGCGGAGGUGAUGGCCAUGGCCGUGACGGCACGGCGGUGGAAAAAUCGAUAAUCCUCCCCCGGCAGGCGCCGCCGAGGAGGACAACAACGUCGAAAUUGAUAACAACUUCUUCGGUUCAGCUGUUUCUGAUGGUGGCGGUGGUGGAAGCGGUGGCCUUGCUUCCUGCAGGAUCGCUCGGGAGCAGUCUCGUCCUCAACAGCAAAAACUGCCUCGUCCAGGAACCGCUGUACAACAUCACCUUCAACCUCACAACGCUUGACUCGGACCUGGUGCACCACAUCAAAUCGGACAUUGGUGAAACGUUCACUUUCGACGUGUGCGACCACCUGAAGCGGCCCUGCAACGGCGUGUCCGGCGGUGCCGCCUGUCUUCUGCGCCAGGACAAAUCUGAGGUGCUGCUGGCCCGGGAAUCUACGCUGCAGCUGAUUGAUGGCCGGUUGCACUUUAACUUUAGCGGCGGGGAUGCCUGCAGGAACGGGAAGAACUACUCGCUGGAUAUUAUACUGAUGUGCAGCUACGCGCCGGAACCGGAGCCGAUGAGUGUGGUGCCGUACUCGGACGAUCAGUGCAAUUACUUUAUCUUUUGGCGAACGAAGCACGCUUGCGCGCCACUUCCGGAGAGGGUGCGGGCGAAUGAGUGUGCCGUGCGGGAUCCUUCCGGUCACGUGUUCAACCUGCUUCCGCUGAGUCAGCUAAACCAUCGAGUUCCGGAUCGGAAUGGGUCGCAUUUUUCCGUUACCGCUUGUAAACCGGUUCAUUAUGGCCACAUGACCAUGUGUCCGAUUGGGAGCAGCGUUUGUCACGUGAAUGACAGCGAGUCUGAUUAUACGAAAAAGUACCACGAUUAUGGACAGACGGACGCCAAUCCGACAAUUGAAGAUGAGAAAUUAGUUAUGAAUCUCGCUUCCGCCGAGGACAAGUGCCAGAACUCGAAGAUCUUCUUCGAAUGUGACGAAGCGGCAACGGAUUUUGGGCCGGAAUAUCUGGGCAAGGAAGGCUGCACGCAUUUGUUCACGUGGCGAACGUCGUUAGCCUGCAAGAAGCGCGAGUUUUGUGUCGUCGUUGACCCGAACAGUGGGUUCGUGUUCAACAUGAGCUCGUUGGCUGGGAAGCAGAUUAAGCUGGUGGAGGCGAACAGGACGUACGAGUUUGCUAUUUGUAAAACGUCGGAUACGCAGUGUCCGGGAUCGUGCGAGAUCUCCUCGGUCAAUUCCCAAACAGUUUCACUGGGGAACAUCAACGCCGAUCUCCGGUACAACAUUACCGGUGCGCCAUACCUGCGCUACGAAUCCGGCGCAGUCUGCAACCAGUCGAGCAACGCCCGCUGGUCAACCAAGAUCGAAUUCAUCUGCGAAACCGAUAAAGGCCAGACCACCCCUCCGCCGAAGGUGGUCGAGAACACCGGAUGUGAACUGAUCGUACAGCUCGAGACGGAGCUGGCCUGUUUGCGAAACAUUUCCUGCUCCGCGAUGAACCUGUCGAACGACCGCGAACUCGACCUCACUCCGCUGAUUUCAUCUCAACGGAACUAUCUGGCCGAUGUCAACGACACGCUAACCGCCGUCAAAAAUAAGCAGCAAAAGUUCUUCCUCAACGUUUGCCGCCCUCUCCUCUCGGAGUUUGGCCUGGGAUGUCGCGGAGGUUCCGCGGCUUGUGUGGCCGAGCAGCGCCCCACGGACAAAACACCAACCAACGAGCUCUCACUCGGCUAUCCGGACGCAUCGCUGGUGGUCGUAGGCGAUCGUGCCCACCUCAAGUACCUACGCGGGGAUCACUGUCCGCAGGACAACGCCACCGACCUGUCGACGGAGAUUGAGUUCUACUGCGCGCCCAAAGCGGGUCACGGCAACCCGAUCCUGCAGGAAAUCCUCCACGACUGCCACUACCGGUUCGAGUGGCCAACGAACGUGAUUUGCCCGGGUGUGGUGGCGGAGUUCCGACCAAAGGCCUGUGAAGUAUUCAACGCUGAAACGGGUGCUACGAUCACGCUGCAGAAGAUCUUUGCUUCCGGGGAACUGCAGGUCAGCCCGAGCAAGGGCAGCGUUUCGGAGGAACUGAAGCGCGGGAAAAUCCAACUUUGCGAUAAGAAUUUGACGGCGCUGGUCGAUUACAAGGAGCAAGCGCUAAAAGUGCACUUUACGGCGAAGGAUCCGAGCUGUGAGGGGACGGGAGGGAACAUCAACGUUAAUCUACACGUGGCCUGUGCUGCGAGCGAGAACUUUGAAGUAAACGAGCAAACUCCCUGCCAUCUGGUGGUGACGCAACUUUCGCCGCAGAUUUGUGACCUCGUUGGAGCUACGGCAGCGAGUGAUGGCGCAGGUAGCAGUACGGAGAAACCGGGUACGCCCCCGCCAACCAAGGGAACGUCAUCGACCACGACGACGACGACGCCGGACCCAAAGGACCAUGGCGGGGAUCCGAAGCAUCCUGCGGUGACCGAUGCCACCCCGGCGGAGGGUUCUUCUGGGGGAAGAGUUGGCGUCAUCCUCGCCGUCCUCACCCUGGUCUCGCUGGCCGGCGCCGGUGGUUUCCUGCUGCUGCGCAACCCGGAACGGCGCGAGUACCUGCGGUCCCUGUUCCGCGGCCGCAACGUGCUGGUGCAGUAUUCGAGGGAUGGCUUUGUUCAAUUUUAAGCGUAUUCUUUCCCUCAUCCACAAGUGUAUUGUGUUUUUUUUUGUAAAAUAUUUCAGUUUGUCCCAACCAAGUAAAGGGUUCGCACCAACGAGGAGGCCAGCCUGUUGAUGCAUCCGCCGGGGGCCCUCUCGGACAGCGACGAUGAGAUGCUGAUUUAAUCUGUGCGCGUGUGUGUGUUUUGUGAUUUUCAACCAAUCCAUUUUACAUCGAUUUAAAAAAAAACAAAUAUUGAAAGAUACGCGCCCGUCGCCUUACUCGCUGUGUGAUGAUUAUUACCACUAAAUUUAAAAAAAAACACUAAACUAAACUAGAAAAGAGAGAAGGAAAAAAGCUGCUAACGUGAUUUGACCAGGAUUGCGGUGAGGGUUCAAAUGAAAGGGUGGAAGCUGGCGUGUUCUUUACAUUAGUCAAUUUCUUUCUAUUAUAAUAUUAUAAAUCGCUAACAUGUAAUGAGCGAGGCUCAAGGUUGGGUUAAUGAUUUAGUAAGAGUGAGAUUUCUAGUUGAUUAAAGCCGAACUUUUCUUUAGCAAAUAUUAGUUUGAUAAAAUUUACACUUUUUCAUGAGAUUUUGCGCAAACGUCUUUGAAUUCCAAGUCAUUUAUCAAACUAAGCAGUUGAAAUCUCUACAAAUUUUGAAUCCGAUUUUAAGACUUGAUUUGUCAACUUUUCAACACAAUUUAAAUUUUAAUAAACAUUUUUAUUUGCAAAUUUCGAUUAAAUCGACAGUCUUCAGAUCACUAAUAAAUCGGUGGUUGAAAUAAAUAUUGGUUAAAAAUUGUCCGAAUUAACUAUGUUCUUCAAACAAGUACGAAUCCAAUUGUCCUUACUAACCUUUGAAAUUACUACUACAAGAUUUAACUUGUUUAUACCGAAGUCGAUAGUUGAAUCCGAUUUUUGUUAUGCUGAUUCACACGAAAAAAAGCUUUUUAUAAUUUUACUGAAUUUAUGUUACUAGAUUAUAAAUUUUAAGAAUUCCUUUGGAAUAUAUCUAUGGGUUUGACACAACUUAUUAUUUGCUUUUCAUUUAUUUAUUUUUUACAAAAAAGUCGAAUGACAAAAGGUUGAAAGGACAAAGCGUCGAAUGUGGACAAGUACUUUUUUGGGUUUUGAAAAAAUGAAACAUUGUUUAAUAAAUUCAUUCUAUUCAUUAGACAACCAGUUUUGGUCGUUUUCUGGGAGAUCCGGCCGAAUUGUCUAAGUUAUAAUUGUAGAAAGUGUUUUGUAACAAAAUUUUCUAUCGUAACACAAUUUUCUAUCCGAUCAACCAUUUAAAAAAAAUCGCUCCUCUGUAAUUACUCUUAGCUUUAAGUAAAAUGUAAUUACAAAAUCCGACUCGGUUCUAACCAGGUCCCAGCACCGAAAAGGACCUAAUAAAAAUGAUGUUAUGAAUAAAAAAAAACAUUUUAAAAAUACACCUAUAUUUUGUUUGUAAAAAAAAGGUAGAUUGCUUCCCCGUAUAGAGCCCUAAGACGAGAUGCAUUGUCAAAAAUAUUUACUAUUUUUUGCGCCAACUUUGACGAACUUAGAAGGUAACGAUGAAAUCCGUAAUAACCUUUCAAAAAGGCGAAAUCUUAAAUGUAUACAAGAGUUUAUUCCACUUCAAGAUUUGUUAGAGGUCCAAUAAACAAUUUUGUUUUUUGUUUUUUGGGUGUUUUUGAAACCGUAUUCAAUGCAACCCGGGCAGACGGAAUAACAAAAUUCAUGACAUUUCAAUAACAAAUACUGUUAAAAUAACAAAAAAUGUUAUCGAAUCUUCUUGAAAAUCCAUUUUUGCAUAAGAGUUUAAUAACAGUUUAUGUUAUGAUAACAAAAUUUGUUAUUGGUCUGAUAUUGGUUGAAAGCCAAAACAACUUUGGAAUAACAUUUUUUGUUAUGGAAGAAUAACUCCAAAUGUUAUUGGGAUUUUCGGAUUAUUUGUUUAAAUAACAAAAAAUAAUAACAAAGAUUUGUUCGAAGAAUAACUAAAUAUGUUAUAAGUCUGUUAUUACAAUAACAAUCCAAUAACAAAAAAAUCAUAACGAUGAAUAACAAAUCCUGUUAUAAAUAACAUGAAAUGUUAUCCGCCUAGUAUUUUCAAAUAUCAAAAAAUGUUAUUCCCAAGUUAUUUCCGUCUGACCGGGAAUGCAAAAAAAAUAAAAUUUUGUUUAUUAGACCUUGUUUAAAAAAAAAAAAAAAACAAUCCGGACUUGCUCUAGUGACAGCAUUGGGUAGGGGUUGGGUAAAGUUGCCAUGGGAUUUGCUACUUGUUUAAAUCCAAUGUUUUACCCUAAUGAAAUCUUUAAAAAUGCAGUCCAGACUCGAUUAUCCGAAUCAUGACCAAAAAAAAAAAAGAUUUUUCAUAUGUUUUAUUAUCUUAUUUUAAACAUCAAAUUCGAGUUCUGCUACCACAAUUUAGUCAAAUUUGAAUAUUUGAUUGUCUUUUAAUUUGUAAAAAAAAAAUUCAAUAUAUUAUCACCAACAUUUUGGCCGCCAUCUUGGAUUUAAAAAUUCUAAAUAAUUUUAGAGUAAUUUGUGGUUCAUCCUUAAGCUCGACCAUUAAAAAUAAGACAAAGAUUUUUUUUUUCCUGAUUCGAUUAUCCGAAGUGAAAUUUUUCCGAGGCCUUCGGAUAAUCAAGUCGGGACAGUAUACAGAGAAACCUGUUAGUUUAGGCGUCAUUUGUGUAAGACCCCCAAAUGUAGUUUGUGACAGCAUGUCAUCAGGUCGCUCAUUCAGUGCUUGAGUGUGCAUUGCAAUAAAUCGCAAAGUUUUAUUUAGUAAACCGGUCACUUCUUUGCCUAAAAAGUGUCCACGUAGUUUGUGGAUAGUCCCUUACAAAUGUUUACGGUAGUCGAGAUCUUACUUGUGUCAAACGCAUUCUAACCUGGAAUCCCUUUGGCCAAUUGUCGCACUUACGAAAUGUGAAAAAUAGGCAACUGUAUUAAGCGGCAGGUUUGUUCAUUAUAAAUAUGUACUCUGCUCAAGAUGUACUCAUUCUCUACAUCAUUAGUCAUAGUCGGAGUUUUUGUUGGAUUCGCUGGAGUCAGUUCUUUUUGAAAGGCAGUUGGAGUAACUAAAUCUCUAAAUCCGGAGUUCGAAUAACUCCACAAACUUGGAAAAUAUUCAAAAUUUAAGUGAAGGUGAUAUAAAAUGCUCGAAAAAAGCUCGGAAUUUUUUGAACGUUUAAUUGUGCAUGAUACUUCAUUGAUCGCUACUUCCCCGAACCCGGGCAUGCCCGCCUGACCUGGUUCGGGGAAGUGGCGUUCGGGGAAAUGGCCGUUCGGGGAUAUGGUCAUUCGGGAAAAUGAUUUUCAGGGAUGUGGAAAAUUAGGAGAAGUGGCCAUUCGGGAAAAUGGUUUUUAGGGAAUGUUGCCAUUCGGGGAAAUGGAUUGUUCGGGGAUAUGAUUUUCGGGUGAAUUUCAUUUCGGGAAAGUGUCUUUUCGGAGAUGUGGCAUUUGGGGAAAUGUCUUUUCGGGAAUGUGGGUUUCGGGGAAAUGUCAUAGAUUCGUCGAUUCCUCUUUAACCAUAAUUUUUUUUUUGUAAGCUUCAAAAUGCGUUUUAUAGAUCUGCACAAAACGUACAAUUUGCUUUAAAAAAUGCAAAAAUGUUGCGUCGUUCCAGAGAAACCCACAAAUUAAGGGACCUGAUAUCAGUGUCGUAAGUUAGUGAUAGAAAAAAAACGUUUCUUAAUCCACCAUUAGGUGGUUUGUGCCUUCCUCACAUUUAAAGGGUGCUAUCCAAAAUGCAAAAAGUGCGUAAAUAACACUUAAUUGCAUAUAACUUUUGAUAUCGUUGUCAGAUUUUUAAUGUUUUGAACGCGUUAGAAAGGUCUUUUGAAUACUCAUCCUACGAUAGGUCGCAUGAGAGAUCCGGACAGCAUUUUCAUCAAAAUAUCUGAGAUCCGGCCUAAAGAAAAGUGCGUAAAUAACACUUUAGUGCUUAUAACUUUUGAUAGGGUUGUCAGAUCUUCAAUGUUUUGGACCUGUUGGGAAGGUCUUUUGAAUACCUAUCCAACGAUAGGUCGCAUGAGAGAUCCGGACAACGUUUUCAUCAACAUAUCUGAGAUCCGGCCUCCAAAAAGCGUAUAAAUGACACUUACGUGCUUAUAACUUUUAAUAGAUUCGUCAGAUCUUCAAUGUCUUGGACGCGUUAAAAAGGUCUUUUAAAUACCUUUCUGAAAAUGUAUAGCAUGACGGGUUUUCUUACAAAAACCACCCUUUUUACAAUCUUCCGGACUUUUGUUAAAAUCGUUUUUUUAGCAUAACUUUUGAAGUACUUAACUAAACUGCAUAAUUUUUAUUAGCGACUUAUGGGACCCCAAGACGGAUCGAACGAGGCCAAAACGGACAAAAUCGGUUCAGCCAAUGUCGAGAUAAUCGAGUGACAAUUUUUUGAUCAACAUCCCACCACACACACAGACAUUUGCUCAGAAUUUGAUUCUUAGUCGAUAGGUAUACAUGAAGGUGGGUCUAGGAGGUUCAAUUGAGAAGUUCAUUUUUCGAGUGAUUUUAUAGCCUUGCCUCAGUGAGGUGAGGAAGGCAAAACUAUCAUAAGAUGAUUCCCGUAUCAACAUAUCAGAAGGUAUAGCAACCGUCACAAUGGCUUGUGAGUUCUCUUUUUUGUCUCGUGCUUGCUAGCAAGAGCAUUCUCUUUCUGUCACUCCUUUUCUUUCCCUCGUUCACACACACUCGCUGAAGAUUGUUUUGGUUUCUCAGAAAACAUCAAUGAAAUAACGCACGUAGUGAGUCCCGUUAAACUGAACUGCAAAUAUUGGUGCUGAAAUUCUCGUCACGGAAAGAAGUGCUGUGAAUUAUGGGAGAUGAAAUAUCGGGUAUGAUGAUUGUAGUCGCUACUAACUGAAAGUUCGAUAUUCUUACAACAAUGAAAGAUAUGAAGUUAUUAUUUUAAACUAAAGAAUGUUAAGGAUGAAAAAUGAGCUUGGUGCCUCGAUUAGAUAAAUCGAUUUAAAACUUAAAAUGGUAGAUCUUCAAUUAUUUAUAUUCGUUGGAUACAAAAACGUUUGGGCAAAAUUUCAUCAACGAAAAACAGAAUGAAAAUUGAAAAAUUAUUUGGGCUAAGAGAAUUGUUCAGCACAACUUUUUUUUAAUAGAAAUUAUUAAUCUGAAACUAACGGCUUUCGUACUGUAAUUUAGUAAAGAUCUAGGUAAUGGAAACAAAAGCGGUGGAGAAAGGACAGCUUUACGUGAGAAUUGAAAGACUUUUUAUCGCGGAACUAAGUACUAUAAAAAAACACAACUGAGAUAAAAUAAAAAAAAAUGAGACACUAUGUAAAACAAAUCAUUGUAACUUUCAAUAAAGACAGAGAUAAUUUAUUAAAACA